rnacentral:rRNA from 1 species
AUUGAACGCUGGCGGAAUGCUUUACACAUGCAAGUCGAGCGGCAGCGCGGGGCAACCUGGCGGCGAGCGGCGAACGGGUGAGUAAUACAUCGGAACGUACCCAGUUGUGGGGGAUAGCCCGGCGAAAGCCGGAUUAAUACCGCAUACGACCUGAGGGUGAAAGGGGGGGAUCGCAAGACCUCUCGCAGUUGGAGCGGCCGAUGGCGGAUUAGCUAGUUGGUAGGGUAAAGGCCUACCAAGGCGACGAUCCGUAGCGGGUCUGAGAGGACGACCCGCCACACUGGAACUGAGACACGGUCCAGACUCCUACGGGAGGCAGCAGUGGGGAAUUUUGGACAAUGGGGGCAACCCUGAUCCAGCCAUUCCGCGUGAGUGAAGAAGGCCUUCGGGUUGUAAAGCUCUUUCGGCAGGAACGAAACGGUCCUUUCUAAUACAGAGGGCUAAUGACGGUACCUGAAGAAGAAGCACCGGCUAACUACGUGCCAGCAGCCGCGGUAAUAC